AGGUAAUCACCAAUUAAGGUCUUGUUCAAACCAGAUGCAUCUUUUAGGAAAGCAGCUAUUUCUUCUGGUGUCUCACCAACUUUCUUUGAUUUAAUUAGAAAUUCAAUUCCCCUCUUAGGUUUCUGAUUAAAGAGUGAUAUGCCUUCCUGUCAAACGAGAGUUAAUCAAAGUAAAUAAGUAAAGUAAUAUCUAGAUAUGAAUAUUCAACAAGUGAUCAUUUGUUUAUUUGAAAAAAGUGGAUUACAAAGUACCUGAAGCUCAAGCUUGUAAGCCCGACGUUGCUCAAAAGAAACAGAUUCGGCGGUUCCAUUUGCAGGUUCAGGAUGAGAAUCGACUGCUUCAGCUGGCUCCUCCACUUUGCCAUCAGGAAUGGGAAUAUCAAUUCCAUUCUCAGAAUUGUUCUCUGGUGCUUCUGACCUUUUAGGAGAGUCAGAGUCUGGUAUACGUAACUGUUUAUUCAUCCAAUCACCCAUUGAUCUCAAG
rnacentral:lncRNA from 1 species